rnacentral:rRNA from 1 species
GACGAACGCUGGCGGCGCGCUUAACACAUGCAAGUCGAGCGAUGAAAUUUCGACAGAUCCCUUCGGGGUGAAGAUGAAAUGGAUUAGCGGCGGACGGGUGAGUAACACGUGAGUAACCUGCCUUUGACAUUGGGAUAGCCUCGGGAAACUGGGAUUAAUACCAAAUGACACUAACUGAUCACAUGAUCAAUUAGUCAAAGAAAUUCGGUCAAAGAUGGACUCGCGGCUGAUUAGCUAGUUGGUGAGGUAACGGCCCACCAAGGCGACGAUCAGUAGCCGGCCUGAGAGGGUGAUCGGCCACAUUGGAACUGAGACACGGUCCAAACUCCUACGGGAGGCAGCAAUGGGGAAUAUUGCACAAUGGGGGAAACCCUGAUGCAGCGACGCCGCGUGAGCGAAGAACGCCUUCGGGUCGUAAAGCUCUUUUAUGAGGGAAGAUAAUGACGGUACCUCAAGAAAAAGCCCCGGCUAACUACGUGCCAGCAGCCGCGGUAAUACGUAGGGGGCUAGCGUUGUCCGGAAUCACUGGGCUUAAAGGGUUCGCAGGCGGAAUACCAAGUCAGAUGUGAAAGGCCAUGGGCUCAACCGAUGUAGGCUUUUGAAACUGUAAUUCUUGAGAGGUGGAGAGGUAAGAGGGAUUCCUAGUGUAGCGGUGAAAUGCGUAGAUAUUAGGAGGGAUACAUGUGGCGAAGGCGAUUUACUGGACACAAAUUGUACGCUGAGGAACGAAAGCGUGGGUAGCAAACAGGAUUAGAUGCCCUGGUAGUCCACGCCGUAAACGAUGAGUGCUAGGUGUCGGGGGAGACCUCGCUGCCGGCGUUAACACAAUAAGCACUCCGCCUGGGGAGUACGUGCGCAAGCAUGAAGCUCAAAGGAAUUGACGGGGACCCGCACAAGCAGCGGAGCAUGUGGUUUAAUUCGACGCAACGCGAAGAACCUUACCAGGGCUUGACAUACUGAGGGCGUACUUAGAGAUAAGUAUUCUCCUUCGGGAGCCUCAAUACAGGUGGUGCAUGGUUGUCGUCAGCUCGUGUCGUGAGAUGUUCAGUUAAGUCUGGCAACGAGCGCAACCCUUACCUUUAGUUACCAGCAUUACGGAUGGGGACUCUAAAGGGACUGCCGAUGAUAAAUCGGAGGAAGGUGGGGAUGACGUCAAAUCAUCAUGCCCUAUAUGCCGUGGGCUACACACGUGCUACAAUGGUCGGAACAGAGGGAAGCAACAGAGCGAUCUCAAGCAAAUCUCAUAAAUCCGAUCCCAGUUCGGAUUGCACUCUGCAACUCGAGUGCAUGAAGUCGGAGUUGCUAGUAAUCGCAGAUCAGCAUGCUGCGGUGAAUGCGUUCCCGGGUCU